GUGGGCGAAGGCCUCCUCUGAGAGAGCCCAGAUCAUCCUCUGAGUUUGGAGGACUGACCGGGUCCUGCCACGAUCAGCCCCUGCUUCAGGUGUGGCCAAUUAGGGCACCUCCAGAGGCAGUGCCCCACCAUGGACUGUUCCUUCGGCAAGUUCUGUGCCAGGGAUGCCCAGGCCCACCAAUCUCCCUGUCCCAAAGUGAUCAUCUCAGUUAGCCUCUGGGGAAGGCAAGUGGAGGCCCUUGUGGAUUUGGGGUGUAGCCUACGAUGGUGCGGGAAAAACCUCGUUCCAGCUGAUCGCUUGACCCACAAGCCCAUCCGACUCUGCUGUGUAUAUGGGGAUGUGAAGGUGUACCCCAGUGCUCAACUGACCCACACAAUUGAGGGAGUAACCUGACAAAUUACAGGGAGUUGUCCUGAACCUCCCCUAUCCCGUCAUCCAUGGGGGAGACUGGCUGGAGUUCAGCCAGGUCCUGCAGGCAGCAUCUCUCCAGACUGGGCCAGAGAGGCUGGGGUUGGAAGGAGACCCAUCGAGGGUGACAAGGAAGAGCAAUCCCCCGGGGACUCUCUAGACCCACCUGAGGGAGGGCCAACCAACCCUCCAGAUGAACCCUGAGUAGCACCCAAGGACAAGGGACCCCUCUGGGGCAUAGAGGGGGACUUCUGUUGAGACCAAAAAGAGGACCUCACCUUAAGCCGGGCCUAUGACCAGGUGGCAUGUGUCAAUGGUGUCACUACAGAUCCACAGAGCAUGACUCAGUGGCCCUGGUUUGAACUUAAGGGUGAGCAUCUCUACUGGGCUUACCAGGACCCUUAUACCCAUGAACCCCACUCACAACUUGUGGUACCCCACUGUCACUGGCAGACCAUGUUGAGGAUGGCCCACGAUAUCCCCGCCGCAGGCCAUCUGGGCCAAGAGAAAACCCUGGCUCAAAUACUAGCCAGAUUUUACUGGCCAGGAGUACACCAGGACGCCAAGAACUUCUGUGCAUCCUGCCCUGAAUGCCAGUGGGCUGCGUCAGCUGGAGUCCCGAAAGCACCCCUGCUCCCUGUGCUGGUGGUGAAGACUUCUUUUGAAAGGAUCACUAUGGAUCUAAUUGGACUCCUCACAAGGAGCACCGCAGGCUUUCAGUACAUCCCCGAGGCCAUCCCCACCCCGAGUAUUGCAGUGGAACUCCCAAAAAUCUUUGCUCGGGUAGGCUUACAAAGGAAAUACUAACUGAUCAGGGAAUGAACUUUACUUCCCGGCUGCUCAGAAGUCACCUGUUAGGGAUCUGGAAGUUGCAAACCUCAGUUUACCAUCUUCAAACCAAUGAAUCAUUCCAUGAGGCCAAUCGGACACUAAAGGGGAUGAUGCAAAAAUUCUCCCCCAGAAGAGUUGUGUCGAUGGGAACAACUCCUCCCACCAUUGCUACUGGCAAUUCGAGAGGUACCACAAGCUUCCACCCAAUUCUCCCCAUUCGAGUUACUGUACGGAUGCCAGCCGCAGGGGCUACUGGACCUCAUGUGGGAGACCUAGGAACAGAGCUCCUCGCCAACCCAGGCUCCUUCAAUACGUAAUGCAAUUGCAUGAACACCUGAGACAGGUCAGUAACCUAACCAAGGAGAACCUGCAGGCUGCCCAGGGAGCCGGAGCCCAAGCCUACAACCGAGGAACCUGAGCCUGAACCUUUGAACCCGGGGAUUACUCCCCUCGGAGGAGUCCAAGCUAUUAGCCCCAUGGCAAGGCCCCUAUGAAGUCCUUCGCCAAGUUGGGCCUGUAGACUACGAGAUACACCAGCCAGGGCAGCAGAAGCAGCGCCAGAUUUACCAUGUCAAUCUCUUAAAGGCCUGGCAUGAUCAGAAGGGUCUGUUGAUAACCCCAGAUCCUGAGCUAGGACCUCAGGCCCCUAUUCCAACGGGGCAAAAGGAGCCUCUCCUUGGCAAAUCUCUCAACCCCAAGCAAAUAGAACAGACCAGAUACUUGCUAAAAGCCUUCCCCGAAACAUUCACGGCUGCCACCAGGCAGACAUGUCCAACACACCAUCUGUACCCCACCUGGGGAAGUAGUACAGGAGACCACCCAACCCCUCCCUCAGUGACUGCAGCAGGCAGUAGAGCAAGAAGUACAAGCCAUGUUGGAAUUAGGGGUCAUAGAACCCUCCCAGAGUGAGUGGUGGAGCCCCAUCAUCUUGGUUCCCAAUCCAAAGAUUCUGUAUUGAUUUUCGGAAAGUUAAUGCUAUUUCUAAGUUUGAUGCAUACCCAAUGCCCCGAAUUGACGAGCUCCUGGACCGAUUGGGUGACGCCGGCUAUAUGACCACCCUGGAUCUUGCAAAAGGAUACUGGCAGAUCCCACUGGAAACUAACUCGAAGGAGAAAACUGCCUUCGCUACACCCAGCGGGCUCUACCAAUUUACCCACAUGCCUUUUGGACUUCAUGGGGGCCCCCCAUGACAUUCCAAUGGUUAAUGGACUACCUUCAACCACACCUCGAAUAUGCUGCAGCCUAUUUGAACAAUGUGGUGAUUUACAAGGUGGGAAGAACACCUACACUGAGUGGCAGCUGUCUUGUGGUCCCUUCGGGCCACAGGUUUGACGGCUAACCCCAAGAAAUGUCGAAUCGGCUUCCAGGAGACCACCUACUUAGGGUAUGUCCUGGGGCGGGAGAAGGUACGGCCUCUAGUUGGGAAGGUCCAGGCAAUCCAAAACUAGCCUGCCCCAACUACAAAGAAGCAAGUAAGGCAGUUCUUGGUAGGCUAUUAUCACCGCUUCAUCACCAACUUCACCUCCAUUGCUGCCCCCUUGACCGAGCUCUUAACAAAGAGCCAGCUGCAAUGCAUCCAUUGGUCCCUGGAGUGCACCCAAACCUUUCAGAUGUUGAAGGAUCACCUCUGCGGUGAGCCAGUUUUAUAUAGCUCGGACUUCUAACAAAAGUUUGUGGUCCAGACUGAUGCUUUAGCCCAUGGGACUUGGGCCUGUCCUCUCCCAGACCUUUGACGCUGAGGAACACCCCAUACUAUACAUCAGCCAGAAACUUUCCCCCCCUGGGAACAGAACUACUCCACCUUUUGAGAGGGAGUCUCUGGCGAUCAAGUGGGCCAUUAAGGCCCUGCAGUACUACCUCCUGGGGAAUAUCUUUGUGGUAGUCUGUGCCCCCCUUAAGUGGCUCCAGAACAUGAAAGACACCAAUGUGAGGCUAACGAGGUGGUACCUCACUCUGCAGCUGUUCACGUUUACCAUUCCAACAUAGGGCGGGUAAGGAGAACGCAAAAGCAGAUGGGCUCUCCCAGUUGGGGGAGGCAGAAAAUGCCAGCCCUGAAGAUUGGGGGCCAGACUUGAGGGGGCAGCGGGGUAGCAAGGAGGUAUGGCCUCCCGUCCUGUCAGAAUGGGAAAGACCCAAAAUCACCCCUGGUGGGCAGAACCAGACCAUCUGUGGCCACUCUGCCGGAAGCAGAGGGGCGGGACAGGAAGUGGGACUAUAAAAGGCCAGCCUCCUAGCUCAGCAGGAAGAGAGCUGCCAGAGGAGCAGGACCUCUCUUCCUUGCUGCUGGAGCCUGGAACUGAAGGAUACGGCUGCCGAACCAGAGGAGUUAUCUGAAUUGCCGGAGACCAGCAACACCAUGGGUGAACUACCAUGGGCUGUUUACCCAGGGGAGGACAACCACGAAACCCAGCUACAGCAGCUGCUUGUCUUGGAGACUUCAAGCUCUAAAAGAUAAAGUUGUUGUACACUGGACCAAACCUGAGACAAUGGAAAGAAUAUUUUAAAAGGUAUUUGAAGCCAUAUUAGGAAUGCCAGACUGGUAUACCUGAAUUUGGGAAGUUUUAACUACUGUCGUGGGUUCUGAUGAUCCUUUGGCAGUUCAUCAAAAUGCUAAUGAACUGCAUGAAGUUCACUGUGUAACCACUGGAGUUAGGGGCUACCGAUCCCUGUCAGCUGAGUGGCAUAUUUACUUUCAGAACCAUGAUCAAGUGACAUCUCUGGGGCCUGGAAACACAGUUUCAGUUACUGCUUGUACUAGUGUUGGCUCUGCUGCAAUUUCCAAAUGCACCUGCCAGCCCUAUUGCAGUCUGGGGCAUUCUCAGGUCAAGAUCACGUGCAGCCAGCUGGCUCCCUGUGGACUUGGCAAAGUCCUUUUGUUGGAUAUGAAAUGUUAUAUUGUUCAUAAUUUAUUAAGUUGCAUGUGUGUAUCAGACCCAAUAAUCAGUUUCUAAGGAUAUUGCAGCAAUCCAAAAAGGAGUCUGAACUGUCAACUUGUGACUCCAUUUUGGGACCCCUCUAUGCACUGUCAACUUGGCCUGGAUGUAACUGGAUUAAACUGGUUUUUUCCCGCCACUGGGCGAUCUCAAGGCCAAACCACCUCAGACUGUUUCCUGCUUUUCCUGGGAUCAUAUCAUGUUUUCCCGCCACAAACUGUAUAAAAGGACUGUAAUCACAGACUGAUGGUGCAGUCCAUCUUAGUGACUGUGCGUCUCGUGUCUUCGUGGCACCAGUGCACCAAUGAAAAAUAUCAUUCAUUCCCGAGGUGAGAAAACAGAAGACUCAUUCCACCUUAUAUGCUCCUGUUUCUGGGAACAACAACCACCAGAGGGUUCUCGGUCUGCUUCUUCCAUCCCAACGGUCAUCGAGGGACUCUCCAGUGCUCCUCCUCUACAGGCUCCAAUUACCCACGGAGUGGAGGUCCUGGACUUCGCUGCCACCACGGAAGUGUUGGGAAUAUAGUGAGAUAUAAUUAGGGUUUUCUUAGUUGGGGUUACAUUUUCAAGUGCCAGGGUGGUUUAUGCUCAUAGGGAGAGCUGCUGUGUUACUGGGUUUGUGUUGUUUGUAGAGUUAUUGCUUGUUUUCAUUUAUCCCUUUCCCUCAGCUGUAGUUUCUCUCUCUCAAUACACUUACUUGUUGUUUGCCCCUUA